rnacentral:rRNA from 1 species
UACGAAGGGGGCUAGCGUUGCUCGGAAUCACUGGGCGUAAAGGGUGCGUAGGCGGUGAGGUAAGUCGGAUGUGAAAGCUCGGAGCUCAACUCCGAAAUGGCAUUGGAAACUACCUUGCUCGAGGGUUGGAGGGGGGACUGGAAUACUUGGUGUAGCAGUGAAAUGCGUAGAUAUCAAGUGGAACACCAGUGGCGAAGGCGAGUCCCUGGACAACUCCUGACACUGAGGCACGAAAGCUAGGGGAGCAAACAGG